CAUGGCAGCCGGAGCUAAGGAGGGUAGUCUGUGUGAAGUUUGCUCUGUUUGCACAGGAGUCAAGUAUCAGUCAGUUCUGCUUUCUUUAUUCAGGGGGAAAACCUAGUCAACAGUGUAAGGAGAUAAUCAGCAUGGCCUUUCCUUAAUAUGAUUUUUGUUUUGUUUGUAAAAACUCUGGAUCUUUACACACCCACCUUAUUUUGUGCUUGAUCUGAGCAUUAAAGCUGAUCUGCUCAGAUGUUAGGGCAGGGAGGAAAAAUAACCUAGACUGCAGUGAUGCCUUAGAUGUGUGUUCCUAAAGGUGUACCAAAGCCAGCCCAAGUUUUGGAUUGUUGUGGGACAAUCUUGUGGGUCAUGUGUUGAGAGCCACCACAGGUGAAAUUCCCUCCUUAGCAGCUGGCUUCUGAAAUAAUGUGAGGGGAGGCCUUAAUGAGCUGAAAGCACCCUCAGCUGGAGAUAAAUAUAUGCAAAUGAGAUGCACAAACAAAGGCGCCUGGACAGAGAAAUAUCUGCAAUUCCAGCAAAAUGCUGCCUGCAGCUAGAAGAUGAACAGCUUUGAUAAAAUGUAGAGGCUUCUGAGGAUGGCUAUACAGGAAAAUUGCGGGAUGAGUGUCUCCAACAAUAUGGAAACAGCCAUGGUUGUGGGCUGAACUGCUUACAAGGUGGUGGAACUGUGG